rnacentral:rRNA from 1 species
AUUGAACGCUGGCGGCAGGCCUAACACAUGCAAGUCGAGCGAGCGGCGGACGGGUGAGUAAUGUAUGGGGACUGCCCGAUAGAGGGGGGUAACUACUGGGAACGGGGGGAAAUACCGCAUACAAAAGGGUGGACCCAAAUUGGCUUAGCUAGUAGGUGGGGUAAAGGCUCACCUAGGCGGCGAUCUCUAGCUGGUCUGAGAGGAUGAUCAGCCACACUGGGACUGAGACACGGCCCAGACUCCUACGGGGGGCAGCAGUGGGGAAUAUUGCCCAAUGGGCGCAAGCCUGAUGCAGCCAUGCCGCGUGUAUGAAGAAGGCCUUAGGGUUGUAAAGUACUUUCAGCGGGGAGGCGUUACCCGCAGAAGAAGCACCGGCUAACUCCGUGCCAGCAGCCGCGGUAUAC